GGGGAUGUAAAGGUCUCGACGGGGGUGAUGAUGCGGGAUAAGCGAGCCGUAGUCGCCGAGUCUACGUUAAAAGCGGCAAAAAACGUUUUAUUAAACGGCAAAGAAAAAACCAAUUUCGCAUUUGCGGCUUAGUUCCGCCCGCGACGUCGGCUCGGGUUCACCUGCAGACCCGAAACCCGGCGCCAAUAUGCAGGAAAACCUUGUGUGAUUUCUCGGUAGCAUAGGGGACCCACGAGAUAGCUGACUCCGCGCCGCGCCUGUGAUGCGCGGAAGAGGCGAAUCAAAUUAUCGCAGGAUGCGCUCGGAGAAAGUCCCAGCGGACGCACUUUCGGACGUGGGUUCAAUUCCCACCAUCUCCACCA
rnacentral:tmRNA from 1 species